GCUUGUCUCAAAGAUUAAGCCAUGCAUGUCUAAGUAUAAGCAAUUAUACGGCGAAACUGCGAAUGGCUCAUUAUAUAAGUUAUCGUUUAUUUGAUAGCACCUUACUACUUGGAUAACCGUGGUAAUUCUAGAGCUAAUACAUGCUAAAAAUCCCGACUUCGGAAGGGAUGUAUUUAUUAGAUUAAAAACCAAUGCCCUCUGGGCUCUCUGGUGAUUCAUGAUAACUUCUCGAAUCGCAUGGCCUUGCGCCGGCGAUGGUUCAUUCAAAUUUCUUCCCUAUCAACUUUCGAUGUUUGGGUAGUGGCCAAACAUGGUUGCAACGGGUAACGGAGGGUUAGGGCUCGACCCCGGAGAAGGAGCCUGAGAAACGGCUACUACAUCCAAGGAAGGCAGCAGG
rnacentral:rRNA from 1 species